CCUACGGGAGGCAGCAGUGGGGGAUAUUGCACAAUGGGGGAAACCCUGAUGCAGCGACGCCGCGUGUGGGAAGACGGUCCUCUGGAUUGUAAACCACUGUCCCCAGGGACGAAGAUGACGGUACCUGGGGAGGAAGCUCCGGCUAACGACGUGCCAGCAGCCGCGGUAAUACGUAGGGAGCGAGCGUUGUCCGGAAUUACUGGGUGAAAAGGGGGCGUAGGCGGGACUGCAAGUUGGGUGUCAAAUCUACCGGCUCAACCGGUAGCCGCACUCAAAACUGCAGUUCUUGAGUGAAGUAGAGGCAGGCGGAAUUCCUAGUGUAGCGGUGAAAUGCGUAGAUAUUAGGAGGAACACCAGUGGCGAAGGCGGCCUGCUGGGCUUUUACUGACGCUGAGGCUCGAAAGUGUGGGGAGCAAACAGGAUUAGAUACCCGGGUAGUC
rnacentral:rRNA from 1 species